UCGUUUGCAGAUCGUCCUUGCUUUCAACU
rnacentral:piRNA from 1 species